rnacentral:rRNA from 1 species
UACGGGGGGGGCAAGCGUUGUUCGGAAUUACUGGGCGUAAAGGGCUCGUAGGCGGCCAACUAAGUCAGACGUGAAAUCCCCAGGCUCAACCUGGGAACUGCGUCUGAUACUGGAUGGCUUGAAUUCGGGAGAGGGAUGCAGAAUUCCAGGUGUAGCGGUGAAAUGCGUAGAUAUCUGGAGGAAUACCGGUGGCGAAGGCGGCCAACUGGCCCGAUACUGACGCUGAGGCGCGAAAGCGUGGGGAGCAAACAGG